rnacentral:lncRNA from 1 species
UUCUCAACCAUGAGCUGACAUUACAUUUAGACUAGAGGUGGCAGCUGAGGCUUGGCACAGAUGGAGGAUUUCUACGCCUCUCAUCAAGCUGCAUCCGGGUUCAAAUCCCAGCUGAGGCUGGAUGUUGCAAGAACCCAUAGUACCCAUGUAGUGUGUGUGAGUGUGUUGUGUGGGUGUGUGAAACAUGGGGUUAAUGCCUAGGAUUGGGGGCUGUCCAAUCCACUUGACAAAAAAAAAAAAAAAAAGACUAGAGGUGCACAUGAUCGGC